AUUUUCAAUCUGAACCACGAAUCAGAAGCAACAUUGUUUCUACAAAAACGAGUACAAUCGUUGCCGAAUAUCUAAACUUUUCGAGAGUUCGAGAAUAAUCCCGAUGAUUUUCUCGAUACAUCGAAAUGAUUGGUCGGCUUAAGUAGCUUCCUGCUCGCUUGUAUCUUGCACGAGGGAUGUUAAUAGGUACUAUUUUACCCUUGUCGUAGAACUUUUUUUAAAUACGAAUUGUCGAAGGAUUGAAUCAUUUAAAAAGACUGAUAUUGUUGAUAUCGUAUAGUGAGUGUGAACACAAUAAGUUAGCGUGAUGGCAUUGAACGCUCAAUAUGAAGUUAUUGGAAAGGGUUUCGUACAACAGUAUUAUGCUAUGUUUGACGACCCCGCACAAAGACCAAAUUUAAUAAAUAUGUAUAAUACCGAGUCAUCUUUCAUGACAUUCGAGGGUUUGCAAAUACAAGGUGCUAUUAAAAUCAUGGAAAAAUUAACUAGUUUAACAUUUCAAAAAAUAAAUCGGAUAAUAACUGCCAUUGAUUCACAACCUAUGUUUGAUGGUGGAGUGCUUAUUAAUGUUUUAGGAAGGUUGCAGACUGAUGAGGAUCAGCCCCAUGCAUACAUCCAGACAUUUGUCCUGAAACCAAUUGGCACCAGCUUUUACGUGCAGCAUGACAUCUUCAGACUUGCUCUGCACAACACGGUUUAGGCGUCAGGUAUUGCUAUUCCAUUGAUCUUCGUACCAUGGUACAGGCAAGCCUGAUACUAGUUUUUGAUGUCUAAAGCUGCUUCAUGUAUGCAGAUGAAGAUCCACCACAUGCCUUCUCACAGAUUUUUGUGUUGAAGCCACUGGGGAAUUCAUUUUUUUGCCAGCAUGACAUCUUUCGUCUUGGCAUUCAUGAUAGUGUAUGAAGAGAAAUGUCUGCAAGUUUAUUACAGUUAAUAGCAGACAGGUAUCUGAGCCAUGGACUCCCCAGAGAUUAAAAUAAGUGAGCUACUUUCUUCUUAAUAUCCUUUGUCAUCACAUAUUAUUCCAUUCUUUCUAGAUACUGCAGUUUUUAUAUGAAAAACAUUUGCUUAUAUCUUGGCCACAAAAGAAAGAAAAGAGCAUUAAAAAUAAAUACAGUUUAAUAAUU